rnacentral:rRNA from 1 species
AAUGAACGCUGGCGGCGUGCGUAACACAUGCAAGUCGAACGUGAAAGUCCCCUUCGGGGGAUGAGUAAAGUGGCAAACGGGUGAGUAACACGUGGGUAACCUGCCCUCUGGUGGGGGAUAACCCUGCGAAAGCGGGGCUAAUACCGCAUAACAAGUCGCUAAAUAAUUAGUCGACUUCAAAGCCUUCGGGCGCUAGAGGAGGGGCCCGCGUCCCAUUAGCUAGUUGGUAGGGUAACGGCCUACCAAGGCUGCGAUGGGUAGCCGGCCUGAGAGGGUGUCCGGCCACACUGGAACUGAGACACGGUCCAGACUCCUACGGGAGGCAGCAGUGGGGAAUUUUGCGCAAUGGGCGAAAGCCUGACGCAGCGACGCCGCGUGGGUGAUGAAGUUCUUCGGAACGUAAAGCCCUGUCAGGAGGGACGAAGCUCUGACGGUACCUCCAAAGGAAGCCCCGGCUAACUACGUG